CCCCUGGCCUCACCUGAAGAUGGUCACAGCUGCCUGCAAUGAUCUCAUUUAGGGUUGGAGUGUGUCCAGGUCUCACUCAAGCCUCUGCACACACUGGAUAUGUUUGAGUCCUUCCUGAGUCUUCUUCCUCUACAAAGCGGAUCGUUUCAUUUAAAUCUGGGUAAAGUUCACAGAGCGCUGUCCGAGCAGAUCAACGGAAAGACUCGAAGAACAAAAAUGUGGCAAAAAGCUAAAUAGACGACCUUCAGCGGAUCAUCAUAAGGAUUCAAGAGACCUCCAGAAAGAGGGAGGAGCUGCUUCAACCACAAACGCCACAUUCAAACGCAUUCAGGUUUCCUCCCACAGUGCAGAAACCUGCUGUUGGUGAGUCCCAGUUGUCCUUUAGGUGUGAGCCUGCGCUCCUGCAACAGACUGGCGACCUGCUCAGGGUGAACCCCAAUGGUCACAAAGGAUUCCUCCCGUUCUGAAGAUGGAUGCCUUCCUGCUGCAUCUGCAGACUGUGUUCCUUCUAUAAAAAAUGGGAUUAAAAAUGAAACUUUUCCAA